GAAAAAUGGUAUUUUGUGGUUUUGGGAGCCAGUCUAAAACUGUUAUUUUGGAAGAAUAAAAGGGGAAGGACAACUAUCACUAGCUUUUCAAAGGGAUGGUGUGUGCCUUCAGCCAUUUGAAGUCUUCAAGAAAAGCUCUGCUCUAGAGGGAAACCACAGCAAACUGGGCUGCACAUACACCUUGGUGCCCUGUGGAAGGUAGCCUGCUUCUUUUGCUCAUCCUGGGAUGCUCACAGGCAUUACCACACUUUGUCUGUUCUUUAAUGGUGGAUAUCAGCCUUGGAGGCACCCUACAGCAGAACGCCUAAGCAUUUCUCACAUCCAGAUGAAGUCCCUUUAGAUAGGACAGUAUGCAGAGGGGUGAAUGCACCCUAUGUGCAGGAAGGAGUUAAUCUCACCACUGCAGUCGCUUCCCUUCGGCGCAAGAGAUGCGGCGAGCGAGAGGAAUGGCAACAAGGAGAGAAAAUUGAGCAGUUGCUGCGGAGUCUGUCCUCGGAGUGAGGGGGACUCAUCGGAACAAGCAGCCAGAGCCCUCUAGCACUGAGGACUUGGUCAGCACGGAAAUCAGAGACGAGCACUGCCUGCCAUACUCUAUGCCCACUCACACCUCUCCCGAUUCCCUCUGUUUCCACUUACAUUUUCUGUCAUUUUGUCGUUUUAUUACGUUUUAAAGGAGUGAACCUUCCAGGAAAGACACUGCCUAUAACAGGACAAAGUGAAAAAUACACCAUUCCUUUCACUUGUGGUGCAUUUU
rnacentral:lncRNA from 1 species